UGCUUUUUUGAGACCGGCGCACGGGUGAGUAACGCGUAUGCAACCUACCUUAUACAGGGGAAUAGCCCGAAGAAAUUCGGAUUAAUGCUCCAUGGUUUAUCGAUAUGGCAUCGUAUUGAUAAUAAAGAUUUAUCGGUAUAAGAUGGGCAUGCGUAUCAUUAGCUAGUUGGUGUGGUAACGGCAUACCAAGGCAACGAUGAUUAGGGGUCCUGAGAGGGAGAUCCCCCACACUGGUACUGAGACACGGACCAGACUCCUACGGGAGGCAGCAGUGAGGAAUAUUGGUCAAUGGAGGCAACUCUGAACCAGCCAUGCCGCGUGCAGGAUGACGGUCCUAUGGAUUGUAAACUGCUUUUGUACAGGAAGAAACCUCCCUACGAGUAGGGACUUGACGGUACUGUAAGAAUAAGGAUCGGCUAACUCCGUGCCAGCAGCCGCGGUAAUACGGAGGAUCCGAGCGUUAUCCGGAAUUAUUGGGUUUAAAGGGUUCGUAGGCGGCUUUGUAAGUCAGUGGUGAAAUUUCCUAGCUUAACUAGGACACUGCCAUUGAUACUGCAGAGCUUGAAUAGUAUGGAAGUAACUAGAAUAUGUAGUGUAGCGGUGAAAUGCUUAGAUAUUACAUGGAAUACCAAUUGCGAAGGCAGGUUACUACGUAUUUAUUGACGCUGAUGAACGAAAGCGUGGGGAGCGAACAGGAUUAGAUACCCUGGUAGUCCACGCCGUAAACGAUGGAUACUAGCUGUUCGGUUUUCGGACUGAGUGGCUAAGCGAAAGUGAUAAGUAUCCCACCUGGGGAGUACGUUCGCAAGAAUGAAACUCAAAGGAAUUGACGGGGGCCCGCACAAGCGGUGGAGCAUGUGGUUUAAUUCGAUGAUACGCGAGGAACCUUACCAGGGCUUAAAUGUAGAUUGACAGAUUUGGAAACAGAUUUUUCUUCGGACAAUUUACAAGGUGCUGCAUGGUUGUCGUCAGCUCGUGCCGUGAGGUGUCAGGUUAAGUCCUAUAACGAGCGCAACCCCUAUUGUUAGUUACCAGCGCGUAGUGGCGGGGACUCUAGCAAGACUGCCGGUGCAAACCGUGAGGAAGGUGGGGAUGACGUCAAAUCAUCACGGCCCUUACGUCCUGGGCUACACACGUGCUACAAUGGCAAGUACAGAAAGCAGCUACCUGGCAACAGGAUGCGAAUCUCCAAAGCUUGUCUCAGUUCGGAUUGGAGUCUGCAACUCGACUCUAUGAAGCUGGAAUCGCUAGUAAUCGGAUAUCAGCCAUGAUCCGGUGAAUACGUUCCCGGGCCUUGUACACA
rnacentral:rRNA from 1 species